UGGUUUUUAGACUUUAUAGGAAUCAAAAUCAACUCAUGCAUAUUUAAUAUACAGUGGUACAGAGUAAGUAUUUCCAUUCCAAAGGGAGAAUAGGCACAUAGAAAGAAGAAAUGGCUAAGAAUCAAACUGAAAUCGAACUUGGCCAACAAAUCUUCUAUUCCUAUGCUCAGCAAGUGGGGCACAUGUUGUGGACAGUGGGCUCCAAGAGACUUGAGCACCCUGAUUCCAUGUCCUCUCACAUGGGUUGGCUCUAUCCUCAGCCAGCAACAUCCCCUGACAUAUAGUACGCAUUGCCAGCAUCUCUUCAUCCCAGGGGUCACUACUGCAGCUUCAACUUCCUUCUACAACUGCACAUAUGACCCUGUCAGGGCCUACCUGCAUGGCUUUGCACCUCGUUAUACUUUGACCUGCCAGGCCUUCCUUUCCAAUCUUGUUGGAAGCCUUCAUGACCACCUAAUUCUAGCAUCCUGCAUUCCUGCAGAACGAGCACCAUGUAGUUGAAGCCAAUGUCUGCCACCAUCUCA
rnacentral:lncRNA from 1 species